rnacentral:lncRNA from 1 species
GACAAAACCCUCAGUUUCAUGUGCUUGAUUUGCUAGAUAGUUUCUGCGCAGCACAGAAUGGGAUGUGGGCUGGGAGGAGGCAACAUUACUCCUCCAUCAGGCUAGAAUUGACAUUUUUCCAUUGCCAAUUCCUUUUCUUUUGCAGAAAUAGCCCAGCUGUGUCAAAAUGUGCUAGAAACCCACCUUAAACGUGAGUGUUGCUUUUUACAAUGUAAACUGAAAGUUUUAGUGCCUUUCUUUUUCCUCUCCUGAUAUGGACCUGCAAUGGCAGAAAGAGUGUGGUUUUGAGAAUGCAAGCAAAUCUCCUUUUUGAUGACACCGACUUUGUCAGUUUUCUCAUUGGAAAAUGGGGAAAGCAGGACAACCUGAAAAAGCUGAAGCUAAAGCUGGCCUUUACAAGUGGCUGAGAGCUGUCCCUGAAAGAACUGAUUUCCACACGUUCAGAAACUGAUGCCAAGAAGAGGUUCACACUAUACCCACGAUUUGGAACGUCAGCUGGGAGCUUCCCACACCAGCAUCUCAUUUCAUUUUCAAGAGUGUCAUUGAGUUCCCGCGUGCCCACCACAGCACCGAUUCCUCUAGCCCUUUCCAGACAAGCUCUUCAGCACUCUUCAGUGUCUUCCCACCAUCAACAGUGCUGUUGGGAGCUCCCCUAGUGGACUGUUGCCCAUAUAAAGCCCUUCAAGGCGCUGUUAUAUCAAAGGAUUUGUGUGGACAAGCUUCAGGGAUGCAUCUGGGACAAGGCUUUUGCUGGACCUCUCGGUCCUGGGGCCUAGAGUCAGUCACGACAAAGAAGAAAGCCUGCAACAAUUGGGAAAGUCUUUGCAGGGGAGUAAGAAGGGACAGUGCUAGCCUUCCCACUGCAUUGCAAGCUCUCCUCUACAUGGGACCAGAUCAGGGCCAGGCUGUCUUCAUUGUGACGGGUGGAUUUCAGAAUUUGUAGAAUUGUGGACCUGGGAAUCUCAGGAGAGAAGCAGGUGCCAAAGGCAUUUCUAUCAUUGCAAAGCUGAUCACGUCUAUAAUUUUCCACAGCAUCUCUCUAUGAGAUCAGGUACAAGGAGAUUUCACAGUCUGGGAGGAACCUGCCGGAAAUGCAGCCCCGUGGCUUCCUGUUCUCUUCAUGGGAAGGCAUUGUCAUCAUAGCUUCCAUUUUUGCCUCUGCUCUUGUUAUUAUAUAUUCAAAGUAUUAUACCAACAUCCCUGAUGUGUAUCAUGCUUUCACAUAUUUAACUUGGCUGUCAUGAAAUUCACAAUCACCUAGACUAGGACAGGGAGGCGGAAAGGGGAGGGGUGGAUGGUGCUGAACUUGCAACUGUAGGGCUGAGUCAGAGCCCUGACUCUGCAACUUAGAAGCUUGGAACCUUAGCCUCCUACAUGUCACCUUUCUGUAUUUGGAGGCCGCAGGACCUGUUUUACUGCAACACCUGCACAGGGUUAUUGUGAUGAUCAAGGAGAGCCAAGAUUUGUGCAAAUAGUUUGGAGACUGCAAACGGAAAAUGAGGAUGGCCUCCUAGCUCGACAGAUCUGCCCAAGGCUGCAGAGCUACUAAAUGUUAGAAACAGGUCC